rnacentral:lncRNA from 1 species
AUUUUGAAUAUUUAUAAUUAUUUUUGAUAAUGACAAUUACAUAUAUUAUCAUACUCACAGCUCUCACAGCUAUAGCUCGAAUCACACAUACCUUAUAUGUAUAUACAUAAUAUAUACACACUUUUCAGAGGCCAGACACUUUUCUGAACUCUGUAGAGUAAGCCAGAGGACUUGUACUCAUUGCCUUUCCAAACUACAAUAUCAAUGACCUUAACGUUUUUAGAUGAUUCCGUGAUAUUUCUGAUCUGCAGUUUUAAACCAUGUAAUCAUAAAAAUUAUAAAUGUACCACAUUAAGUAUGUCAUAUUAAUAUUCUUGAUGUGGUUCAAAAGGCCGGAACAUUAAAAACUAGUUAUGUUUAAUAAUUGCUCAUUUGUAAAGAUCGGACCCAAUAAUCAUACAAUUGAAAUGGUUGAAGAAGUCCUGUUAUAUUCUAUUCCCCCGUGUGAUAAGAUAGUUGCUCCAGACAUCGUAUGGUGGCGCUGGCAUCGCAGCAUUUUCUCCCUCGUAUUUUGUCUGAUACGUGCUUCGGGGGAAAAUAUAUAAAUAUAUUAUUUUGACACACUUUCACAAUAAAAGGGUAAAAUAAUGUCUAGAAAUUUGCAAAUUGAAAUUUAAUAAAAUUUACCCCUAACCGGCUGGAAGCUAAGCCUAAAGAAGUUUAAGCAGCUUCACUAGUCAGUUGAAUUCUACUGAACCUGUGGCUUGUUACUGGUUGUUAAAGCACAAUUCAGGCAGGAAGUACGGUUCCUGAUACUUGUGUUUCAUGUCUGCAUACCCUCCUCAUCCUUCCCUCCAUUCACUUUUACAAGAAAAUCCUUGAAAACAAGGAUUUAAGAUUUGGAGGAUUUUCUCAAUGUGGUGUACUGUCUAUGAAUGAUUUAAGAUGCGGGAUUGUUGGGAAAGCCAGAAAAGCUGAAAAUCCGGACUAAGAUGAAUCUAGAGAAGAAGAAAUUGAAGAAGUGACGAUUUGACGAUUUGAAAAAAAAUGCAGUUUUUAGAUUUGUAGUCUACAGAACGAACGCCUGAUCGUUUUCCAGUGAUCCUAAUUUUCUCGUUCUCUGGAAGAUUCCAUGUCGGCCAUUUUGAUUCUGGAUAAUGCGCGAAACCGGAUUUAAUUCAAAAUCCGCCAUUUUGGACUCUACCCUAACCCGUAGAUCCGAACUUGUGUUUAUUCACAGGCUCGUGUCACCGGGGCUUGGUCGUCUUCCAACUGUCAAUCAAUUAAUCAAUUCAUCUAUUUUAUCCUCACUUCAACUGAACCUGUCCAGUCGUCUCAACCUACGAUCCUGAUCCUUUGACGAUAAAACCUGUAUUUUUAUCCUUGGAUUCAAAGAAAUUUAAGGGAUACAUAUUUCAUAUUUUUAUUCAGUUCACUAAGAAGAAGAAACACAGAGCAAAUUUAAAAUAUUUCAAUUAAAAAAUUAGUAAAUUUCUCUCUUCCCUCAAGAGAACUUAACAAGAUAAGUCCGCAGAUUAUUUCAAAGAACAGUUUUAAUUUCGAAAUUAUCACCUGAAAAGUUUUAUAAUCAGUGAAAAAAAGUCCUAAGUACACUCGGUAAUUGUGACAGGAAGGAAUGAUGAAUAAUGUAGUUUUCGUUCUGACAUUUUAUCUCUCAACUCCACAUACCCAAAUGGUGAUUUUGUGACAAUAAGAGAAGACAACUGGUUGCUGUGACUGUUACGGUUUUGUAGUGGCUGCACUGUACAUGUGGUUGUAGUGUACAUGAGGUAGUAGGUUGUAUAGUUGUUAGUGUACAAACUGUACAGCAGAUUACCUUAUUUACACUCAACUUGUAUCUUCACAAAAGAGAGAAGUAAGAAGAAAAAAAUCCGAAAUAUCGAGAAAGAAAAAUUUUCUUUAAUUAUUCAAAAUUAUGCAUUUGUAGGUUAAAUGCUCGAAUCAAAUAUUUUGUUUGUGUUUCUAAUUUCUAGUCAAUUUUCUUAGUUUUUUUUCUUUUUACAGUACAGUUAAAAUCUUUUUUGAUUAAGCCUAAAUAUAUUUAAAACUUGCAGGGGUUUCAUUUUGUUGAACAAUCUUUCCAACUGACAUCUUAAUAAUAUAAAUGGAGAAGGGGGUAAAACUUGCAUUUCAAAAUUUUUCUGUUUUUUUUUCUCCGAAACCAUUCAUAGAAUUCUUAAAAUAUUUAAAAAAAAUUAAAUCCUGCUUCUUUAAAAAUGAGAAGUUAUAUGAUCUGUUCAUAAUUUUGGGAAAUUGAAAUAAAUAAUAUCCAGUAAA